rfam:Myotis davidii contig77277, whole genome shotgun sequence.
GGUGGUUCUCAGUUGACACACUCCAGAAUCGGGCUCCCUCCUCUCUGGUUCCUGGUGCGUCGCCUGAGAACCGCA